rnacentral:rRNA from 1 species
UACGUAGGGGGGCAAGCGUUGUCCGGAAUCAUUGGGCGUAAAGAGCGUGUAGGCGGCUCGGUAAGUCCGCUGUGAAAGUCCGGGGCUCAACCCUGGAAUGCCGGUGGAAACUGUCGAGCUAGAGUCCGGAAGAGGCGAGUGGAAUUCCUGGUGUAGCGGUGAAAUGCGCAGAUAUCAGGAGGAACACCAAUGGCGAAGGCAGCUCGCUGGGACGGUACUGACGCUGAGACGCGAAAGCGUGGGGAGCAAACAGG